AUCUUUUUUGAUUCAUAAAUGUAAUGAUUGGGUUUUCAUAUUCAUGUGUGAGAUGUGCCCCCCUCAAACCUUGUUAUGAUGUCAGCACAUUGCUAUCUGACA